rnacentral:SRP_RNA from 1 species
GCCGGGCGCGGUGGCUCAAGCCUGUAAUCCCAGCACUUUGGGAGGCCGAGACGGGGGACCACUUGAGCCCAGGAGUUCAAGACCAGCUGAAGCAACUUGGCAAAACCCCAUCUCUACCAAAAAAAAAAAAAAAAAAAAAAAAAAAGCCCAGUGUGGUGGUGUGUGCCUNNNNNNNNNNCACUGGGCUUUUUUUUUUUUUUUGGUAGAGAUGGGGUUUUGCCAAGUUGCUUCAGCUGGUCUUGAACUCCUGGGCUCAAGUGGUCCCCCAUCUU